ACAGUGCUGAACUGAGACUCCCGAGCUUGACUACAGAUUCCUGAAUAAAACAGGGUCUUCAGCUCUGACUGAUUUUGAUUCUAACAUUUGUUCUGCUCUUUAGGUAUUUAAAUUAACCCAGAGAAUUGGGCAGUUGGGUUAGGAGCAGUUGUGAGAAUGACACGUGUACUAAUGGAAAAUUUUAAUAGACACACGGAAGCAUUCAUCAUCUCUGAGUGGGUGUCAGAGAUGAUGGCAAUGGAGUGGAAUGCAGUUCAACCAGGUGACUCAGGUUGUCAGAAAGUAGCCUACCAGAAGGUGCCACAGUGCUUAACAGUUCCCAGACCCUGGACAGGUCACCAGUCUGUUACAGGGCUAACACAUAGAGACAGAAAACCACAUUCACAUUAAAAAGACACGUGCGCAUACACACAUACACACACAAAUAGAGGUGUGUGUGUGUGGGGGGGGGAUUCUUAGCUCAACUGUUGGCUUACAAUAUCAUGAAGUGUAAGCUUUUCUCCCACAUGAGCCCCAGACACAAAGCAAGCAUGAACCUAACAGCAUGCCUCCAAAAAAAACCUUAAAGGAAAAUACAAUGAAAACCAGUUUCAAAAGUGAAAUGUUUAACAAAAUACAUGUAAAAAUAAAAUAAAUGUGUUUAAGAGGCUCACAAACUAUCAGGAGAAAAUAUGUGUAAAAAGGUGUGAAAAGAGCAGCUGAGACUGAACCAAAGGGAUUCGUUCAGGUUCAGUCGUCGGUCUCUGGAAGAUUCUCGAAUCACCGGCGAGAGCUGAAGCCACAACAGGGCCGUCGACGACGAAAGCCAAGUCCCGCAGUCGUCUGCGGCUCUGUGGGUGAAUAAAGAGUAUACGUCCGGAGAAAAUGCUCCUCACUUUGUACAACCGGGAGGCCCCGCUCUAUCUCUUGGAAACGAACAAUGAGACACCUGUGGACUGUACUCUACGUCAUCGUUGGAGCUACCCAAGGUAAUUAUUAUCAUAAAGAUUAUUUUUGCUUGGGGGUUGGGGUUGUUUCGUAACGCCAGGCAACGUUUGCUGAACAUCUACUGUCGUCUUCGAUGUAACAGCUACACCUGGAGAGCAUGUUGUUCUGAUGUGUCAAGAUCCAGAUAACAACUUCACAGGUGUAAAGUGGACCAGAGCUGACCUGGGAGAAGAAUAUGUCUAUUUAGAGCGGGACGGGCACUUUGAACCACGCAACCAGCAUCCGUCUUUUCACAACCGGGCGGCUCUGGAUGAGCGAGAGAAGAAAGAUGGGAAUGUGUCUUUAAAUCUGAAGAAUGUGACAAAAAACGACACCGGGGCAUACGAGUGUCGUGUCUUCAUCAAUGAAUCAUAUAAAUCCAUCUGCAAUGUCACACUAAGAGUUGUUGAUCCUCCAGGUCAGACAGGAGGAGACACAGAGGAUGGAGGGAAGGAGG